rnacentral:rRNA from 1 species
CUUAAGCGUUGUUCGGAUUUAUUGGGCGUAAAGCGCGUGUAGGCGGUCUUUUAAGUCUGAUGUGAAAGCCCCGGGCUCAACCCGGGAAGUGCAUUGGAAACUGGGAGACUUGAAUACGGGAGAGGGUAGUGGAAUUCCUAGUGUAGGAGUGAAAUCCGUAGAUAUUAGGAGGAACACCGGUGGCGAAGGCGGCUACCUGGACCGAUAUUGACGCUGAGACGCGAAAGCGUGGGGAGCAAACAGGAUUAGAUACCCUGGUAGUCCACGCCGUAAACGAUGAGUACUAGGU